GUUUGGGAGACAAAAUAAAAAAAAUGAAAAUACACUUUGCCGAGUGUCUGGAGAUGACACUCGGCAAAGAGGGCUUUGCCGAGUGUCUAUUACGUGGCACUCGGCAAAGAAGCAUCUUUGCCGAGUGCCAGCCGUUGGCUCUCGGCAAAGACUGACGGCCGUCAGCUCUGGGACGGCCGCUGACGGCCCUUUGCCGAGAGCCCCGUUUGCCGAGUGUGUGACACUCGGCAAACUUGUCUUUGCCGAGUGCCUACCUGUGCCGAGUGUUCAGCACUCGGUAAAGGGGCUCUUUUCCGAGAGCCUAACUUUACCGAGGGCGGCACUCGGCAAAGCCUUCUUUGCCGAGUGCCCGACAAAAGGCACUCGGCAAAGAAUACAACACUCGGCAAAGCCUCGGAUUCCGGUAGUGCAUAUUACAACCAUUUGUGUGUAAAUUGCUUAUUUGAGACCCUAAACGAAUUCAAAUAAAAAAGUUGUCAACUACAAAGAUAAAUAACUUUUGAAGUUCUACAACUUUUAUUUUGACACUUUUUUCAUCAUCCGAGGUAGUUUGCAAAAUUUGAAUUUUAAAUUUGACAUACUUAUAUUCAAUUUUUGAGAACCGAAAUGAGUUCAAAUAAAAAAGUUGUCAACUACAAAGUUUCAUAACUUUUAGAGAUCUACAACUUUUAUUUUGGUGGUUUUGUCAUACGAGGCCGUUUGAAAAAUUCGAAAAAUUAAGGAUAAAAAUGAUUUCUAGUGGCGGUUCCUUAAGAAAACCGCCACUAGAAAUCGUAUUUCUAGUGGCGGUUUCUUAAGAAAAUCGUCACUACAAAUCAUGGAUUUCUACUGGCGGUUUUCUUAAGGAACCGCCAGUAGAAAUACGAUUUCUAGUGGCGGUUUUCUUAAGGAACCGCCACUAGAAAUAACACAGUCGGUGGAUAACCGAAUCCGCUUGUAAAAAUAUAUCGUCCCCGCAGGCUUUGAUCCUUUUUCUACUAGUGCGUCAAGCCGGAACUGUUCAUCACCAGGAGUCAGGCUCAGGGUUUCUAAGAUCCUCUUCAUUCGGCAUUGCCGUGGUUUCGCUCUUCUCGACAAGCAUAUCGAUCACCUAUUCCCUCCUGCCCACAGCCUACUACUUCCUGCCUCGAUCUUGCAUUGAUCCCAUCACUCCUUUUUGGCGGCUUCCACUUCCUCUAUUAUCGCGAGGACGACACUGGUUUUAAUUUGCAGGUAAUUAACGGGGAGAUCAGUGAUCCAGAGCAGAGCAAAGUUCGGAAGAAGGAACUGAAGUGUGCAGCCCAACUCACCUUGUCGCUGGUCUCUACGUCGUUCUCGGGGUUCGGCGGCGUUCUGCUUGCUAUCUACCACAAGGCAGAUAGCCUCGGCGCAGCACUUCCGCACGUCAAAGUCACGGUGUGCCUCUUGGCUCAUGCUCGGAGGAAGCGUCACCGGAAUGUUUGCAUUGCUUCUGUGCAGGCUGUUGUCCAGCAAUGACAAGAAGCUGGGAACGACAUGGCAGAGAGGCCAGAGGGCAGUACUCGCUGCAGCAAACAUCGUCAUGGCUGCCGUGCAUUGUGUCGGCUGCCCUCGUGCUCGCUGAAACUAUCUUGCACGGCCUCCUCGUACGUCGUCGGCGCCAUGUUCCCGGUCAUCGCGCCGGCGUUGCCGCGUGGGUGCUAGCUCGUCGAAUUCUGCUCCGUGCCUGACGCUCGCGGCGGGCGCACGGAGGAGGAAGGCAAGGUCACGCUUGGCACAAUGUACGCCAUAGCAGAUUAGCAGACCCCCUUCGAGCGUUCAUGCGAGUGUCCCAAGGCAGGCAUGAACGACCGAAGCUAUCGAGUGUGGGCUGUGCCGGGGGUUGGACACUGACAUCUGGUAUCAGAGCCCGGUUGGCCCAUGCCUGCCUUGGGGGGCUUCCCAAGGAGAUGGGAUGUCAGGGGCCGGUAGUCAGUGCCUCGGUUUUAGUCUCACAUCAGCUAGCCAAAGGGGUUGUGGACAGCUUAAAAAGAAGAGUCCCCUCCUCUCAUCAGCCUGGCUUUUGAGAUGUGAGUGAUGAGCUUUCUGGCUGGGCCAGCCCACGAGCGCAUGAACGCUCGAAGCUGUUGAGUGUGGGCUGGGCCGAGGAUUGGACGCUGACACUCUCUUCUAUCAGAUCGUGGCAUGAGCUGGAGCAACAAGAAUGGAGUACUCUGUACCAUUUCGUUAUUUAGACCUCCUUUGGCAGAGCUCAGAUUAAUCUGAAAAUAGUUUCAGCUCAAGCUCCUUUGGCUUCCAUAAAGUAGCUGGAGCCAUUUUACAAUUUAUUUGAUAAAUCAACUGCUUCAGUAUUUUUUUUCAAAUGAUGUAUAAUCUACCUUUUUAGUGCUCCCGCACCUAACAAUAAAAUGGCUCGGGCUAACUAUAAGCUCAUGUUCACGAUGGCUGAGAUGAAGGAAAAAAGAACAAUGCUAAAUGGGCCCUUACAUUGGUUACUUGAUCUGGUCACGCACGCACGCAUGGAUGGUGACGUCGCAUGAUAUCGAGACGUGUAAAUUUAGUGUAAAUUAAAUGCUACCCUCGAACGAAUGUAAAUUAAAAGCUACUUCCUUCGUACCGGAGAAAUUUAAUUACUAUCUUGAUCGGGUUAAUAGAAAAGGUAUAAAUAUUUAUACAACACAGAACAAACAAUUACUAUUGGGUGUAAAUUAAUAAACCUAACAGCACUGUUGGGGACUUGCUCUCAAAUGCUAUGAAUUAAGAACAAGGCAACAUAAAAUAUCAAAUAUUAAUGCCCUUCGUCCGCUGAAGCAUUAUUUCCUCAAGGAUUUAAUGAAUUUCGGACGAAGACCAUGAGCAGAAUAUUACGAAGGUUAUACAUUCGUAAUCAAAAUUACAAAGAUAAUACAAAGUAAUAUACAAUGUGAAACAUUAAAGAUGAAUAUAUCAGAAAUAAUUGACAUUAUUCACAUAUCUUAUCAUACAAAUUUAAGAUGCUUGAACAUAAUGUUUUAUGAACAUUUAUACCUCUGCCUUGACAGAUAAUAAUUCCCGAGUGAAGCGUUUGCAAUUACAAGAAUGCGUGAACAGUAAAGGAAUACUGUUCACUAUUUAUAGGCACAGGACACGGCCCGUGAGGAAUUACAAUCAUACCCCUCGUAAAAAUUUACAACAAUGACUCGGACUCUUAUGGACUAAAAAGUCAUUCUAUGUUUAAGUCGGUUUGUAAUUCCGAAGCUUCACAAAGUGGCACCUUCGGCAUCGUGUACAAGCAGCUUCAGCCGAAGCUGUUUCUUUCUAUAGGACCUUCGGCGACGAAGCAUGGUCCCAACAGUAGCCCUUUCGUGGUGCUAGAUCGUUUUUCGUAACGAGCUUGAUCCGUGAAAAAAGUCUCUUAGGCUUCAGGAAGCCGAAGGUCCGAAAACACCUUCCCUGAGCUCGUUGUCGAGAAACGAUACAGCUUUCAAGCGUGCAGCGGUCCCACCAUGCAGAUUCACUGUUCUGGUUCUUGCGGCCCACUGUUCAGCGGGUGCGAGCAACUGUUUGCCUGGUGUAAAAAUCCUGACGAUUCACCUUCUUACCUGUAACACUAUAUAAACAGACGGGUAGGUGUGAAGUUACCACAACAUUCAUUGCUAUUGUACUGUUUUGCUGCCAAAAUUUUCGACCAUAGCCGAAGCUUAACUUUCGCAUUCAAACGAAGCUCCAAUUUAGAAUUUGCUUCGUCAGAAGAAUAGCUUCGGAAGAGAAGACUAUUAUUUUUCAAGAAAAUUUUCAAGAAAUUCAAAAUUAAAUGGCCAGAGUGCGCUCUACUGCUAGAGUUGAACGUGAGGGAGACGAAGCCGAAGGUGUGGAGACAGUUCCUAUCUCGGAAGCAAUGCAGCGAUCUGGAUUGGUGACGUCGGGAGAAGCUCCCGCUGCUGAAGCAGAACAAGAGAUAUUGAGGAGGCUGAUUCUGAUGAUGAUUACAAUAUCUCAGUACCGAGCAAGCCUAGCCAUCUGGACUUUGGGAAGUCGACUAUCUCCAAGGCUGAUCUUUCCAAGAUGGUGAAAUCGGGCUACUUCAGUGAAGAUGAGAAAAAGCUGAUUCGCUUCGGUGGAGAGGAAACUACCCCGAAGCCAGAGAAGGAUGAAAUAGUGAUUUUUAAGAGUUUUCUUAAAGCUGGCUUGAGAUUUCCUUUGAAUAGGAUGAUUGCUGAUGUGCUUCAAAAGUUUGGGAUUUAUUUUCACCAACUGACUCCUAACGCCAUUGUUAGGCUCAGUGUUUAUAUUUGGGCUCUCCGAAGCCAAGCAGUGGAGCCAUUUGCCGAAGGUUUCUGCCGAGUACAUGAGCUACACUAUCAAACAAAGGACAGAAAGGAUGGGCUACAUGAAAAUUUUGGUUGUUACAACUUUGCAUAUCGAAAAACCACAAAAUUUCCUAUCAUCAGCUAUCAAAGCAAGUGGCUGGCAGGCUGGAAAUCGGAAUGGUUCUACGUCAAGGUUGAUGACGACAAGGAGAAGCUUGUGCAGAGUCCGCUUGAACUAAUCUUCGGAGAAACCCGACCUCAGUGCAAUAUGACACCAGAAGGUCCAACCCAAAAAGCGUUGGCUGAAUUCAGAAAUAUUGCAGAGCACAUUGGCACUAGGGAUUUAGUGCAGGAAUUUCUUGCCUUCAGAGUAUUUCCAACUAUGAAGGAGUGGACUAUGCCGAAGCCUACAGGGGAGAAGAAAGAAGGGGAGCUUGUCCAUCUACCCUACCAUUAUAAGUUCAAGAAAUAUUUUAAGGCUCCUUGCCAAGAAUGGCUCGAUACAAUCGAAAUAAUGAGUACUGAAAUUCUUGGAAAUUACUCUAAAAAGGAGGACCAAUUGAUGACAGCAGCCUUCGGCACCCGGCCGAAACGAAGGCUAAACAGAGUACUUGAUGCUAUAGGCUUCGAAUAUUCUGACUAUGGGCGAUUGGACGGAGAUGCUGACGGCCCGAAGAGAAAAAGAAUUGCUAGCGCUGUUGACGAAGAGAGCACCAAAGUGGCUAAAAAGAAAAAGGAGAUUUCUGAAAAACUGAGUCCCGAAAAGCUGAGCCCUGAGCCGAAGGUGGCUGCUGCAAGAAAGAGAAAAACUGCAUCUCCAGAACCAAAAACGUUGGUUCGGGAAGAAGAUACUCCUACAACACCUUCUACUGCCGAUGUAGAAGAGAUUAUGAAGGUAAUGACUGAACCCUUGCCUGUCAAGCUAAGUCCGCUGGCGCCGGAACUGACGAAGUUUUUUCAGAAGGACAAAGCAGCUUCGGCAGAAGAAGGUCCUACACUGCGGAAAAAACGAAGAAUUAUUCAGAUAGCAGAUGUGAUUCAUCAGACGCCGCCACCGACGACAGUGUCGAAAGUUGCUUUUGUCGAGACCGCCGAAGCAAAAGGCGCCGCAGCCGAAGCUACCAGGGUGGAAACCCCCGAAGCUGAAACCGGCGCAGCCGAAGCUACUGGGGCCGAAACCGGGGCCACAGAAGAUCUGAACCUGGAAGACACACUUGAAGUUAUUGAUAAUAUACUUCUGAAAAUGGCUGAGGAAGAAGCUGUUGUGGUUACAGUGAGCACAGCUACUGAAAAGGGGAAAAACAAGUUGAAGAGACUUUGGAAGAAAAAGAUUUUAACUUUCAAGAUUUACUUGGGCAAGAAUUGACAGAUGCUGAAAAAGAAGAGCUUAAAAAAUAUGCCAUAUCCUGCGGAUAUAAGCCAGGAGCUACACUGUUUGGUGGGGUUAACGAAGGAAAGCUGAGAUGCCUUCGAAACCGCAGCGAAGCUAAAAUUGUUAGGACCCUCUCCAAAAAUAUUGGCCUGCCGAAGCUGGAAGCGGACCUCUGCCGCUACCAACGACACCAUAUCGCUGGAAGCUUACUUUAUGCUAAUUUUAAGGUAACAAAUAUUAAUGCUAUUUUAUUAUUAUUAUUAUUAUUAUUAUUUAGGUCGUUUUUUAACAAAUAUUGUUUUGACAGAGCAUAUUGUUAAGUAAGGUUCUAAAAAUGCAACAAGAUCUCGAAGACGAGAAAAACAAAGCCAGCAUCCAAGAUUUGGCUGAAAAAGUUGAAAAUUACGAAGCUGAUCUGAAAAAGAAGGACUUCACCAUCCAAGACCUUGAAAUCAUGGUUAAGGAACACGAAGGUGCAUUAGAAAAGAAAGACUUUGUUAUCCAGUCUAUAGAAGGCUCCUUGACUGAAGUCCAAGCAGAGAACGACAACUUAAAGAAUGAAUUGCUGAAACAAUCAGAAAAAUUUGAGCAAGAAAAGAAACACCUUGAAGCAAGCCUAAAAACUGAGAUGGAUAAAAAUUCAAAUUUGCAGAAAUCCUUGAAGGAACUUCAAGAGAAAUGCCUAAGCUUCGGCAGCCGAUGUGUGCAGCGGCUGAAGGAUGUGUUUUAUUCUGUCGGAGCCAGCUCUGCAAAAUUUAUACCUUCAGCUGAAAAUCUGCCCAGCACAUUAGAAUAUAUUGAAGGCGAGGUUGAUGCCCUUGACGAAGUUAUUGGUGGGCAUGCCGACUUCUGCGCCCUGGUAGCUUCUCGGGGCACAGCUACCGCUUUUCUGAAGGCUGGUUGUACGCAUGGAAAUAUUGUGAAUAGACCAAACUUUAGCUUAUCAGCAUCAGAUCUGAUAGAUAUCCCAAGCCUGGCCCGAAGCAUUGGGAAUAGAUUCAUGACCCAGAUCUAGGUAAGUGGCGAGCAAAAAAUGGCAGGUGACGAAGCUCGUAGUCAUCUUAAACCGGAUGACGAAGCUGAAGAAUGACGAAGCUGAAGUUUGAAGAAGCCUAGCCUGAAGCUUGAUAGUUGCUUACAAUGUAUUUUCCUGCAAAAAUUCUAGAGAAACUUUUGUAAUAUAGUUAUGGAACAACUCAUGUAAAUUUGUACAUACCUUGUAAUAUAUUUUGUUUCUGCUAUCUGUGUACAAUCUGCUUUGCUGUGGACGAAACUUCUCUUUUGAGCCGAAGGCGAAAAACACCUUCCCUUCUUUUCGUACACAACGAAGCAUAAAAAAAAUUUCCUUCAAAGUUUUUCCUCAUUGCUGAAGUACCUGUCUUGUUUGUGUGGUAUGAUGAUGAUUCUAUAUAUGUCUAAAUGAAUGUUUAUGAAUGCAAAUGACAUGAU